AGGGCACCACCAGGAGUGGAGCCUGCGGCUUAAUUUGACUCAACACGGGAAAACUCACCCGGCCCGGACACUGGAAGGAUUGACAGAUUGAGAGCUCUUUCUUGAUUCAGUGGGUGGUGGUGCAUGGCCGUUCUUAGUUGGUGGAGUGAUUUGUCUGGUUAAUUCCGAUAACGAACGAGACUCUAGCCUACUAAAUAGAUCGUCGGCUUACAAACGCCGACGAGACUUCUUAGAGGGACAGGCGGUGAUUCAACCGCACGAAACAGAGCAAUAACAGGUCUGUGAUGCCCUUAGAUGUCCGGGGCCGCACACGCGCUACACUGAAGUGAUCAGCGUGCUUUUUCAACCUACUCUGUCAAGAGUGGGGAACCCAAUGAACCUUCUUCGUGAUUGGGAUAGGGGAUUGUAAUUAUUCUCCUUGAACGAGGAAUUCCCAGUAAGCGCGAGUCAUAAGCUCGCGUUGAUUACGUCCCUGCCCUUUGUACACACCGCCCGUCGCUACUACCGAUUGAAUGUUUU
rnacentral:rRNA from 1 species